rnacentral:misc_RNA from 1 species
AGCAGCCGCGGUAAUUCCAGCUCCAAUAGCGUAUAUUAAAGUUGUUGCAGUUAAAAAGCUCGUAGUUGAAUUUCGGGAUUGACGUGAUGGUCGUGCCUUACGGGGUAUGAACUGUUGCAGUCAAUUUCUCACCUUCUGGAGAAAUAUGAUGUCCUUAAUUGGGUGUCAUAUGGAACCAGAACUUUUACCUUGAAAAAUUAGAGUGUUUAAAGCAGGCUUAUUGCUCGAAUACAUUAGCAUGGAAUAAUAAAAUAGGACGGCAUGGUUCUAUUUUGUUGGUUUCUAGGAUCACCGUAAUGAUUAAUAGGGAUAGUUGGGGGCAUUAGUAUUCAAUUGUCAGAGGUGAAAUUCUUGGAUUUUAUUGAAGACUAACUACUGCGAAAGCAUUUGCCAAGGAUGUUUUCAUUAAUCAAGAACGAAAGUUAGGGGAUCGAAGACGAUCAGAUACCGUCGUAGUCUUAACCAUAAACUAUGCCGACUAGGAAUCAGACGAUGUUAAUUUUUUAAUGACUCGUUUGG